UACGUAGGGUGCGAGCGUUGUCCGGAAUUACUGGGCGUAAAGAGCUCGUAGGUGGUUUGUCGCGUUGUCCGUGAAAACUCACAGCUCAACUGUGGGCGUGCGGGCGAUACGGGCAGACUGGAGUACUGCAGGGGAGACUGGAAUUCCUGGUGUAGCGGUGGAAUGCGCAGAUAUCAGGAGGAACACCAAUGGCGAAGGCAGGUCUCUGGGCCACAACUGACGCUGAGGAGCGAAAGCAUGGGGAGCGAACAGG
rnacentral:rRNA from 1 species